ensembl:lncRNA
GUCAAAUAAAGGGAUGGCAUAAAGCAUUUCGUUAACCUGAGUUAUUCUCUCAGGUAUCCAGGCUACAAGUAGGUCAGGGUUUCCCUUUUCUCUCUAGGCUGUAGGUAGUCAAUGUCUUAGUAAUUACUGAGUCAUGUUGAUCAAAGUUCAGCUGAAACUUUCCUGAUGACUAAGCAUACACAGCCUUGCCAGAGGACAAGCCAGGGUGUUUAUACAAAAUGUCGGCCUUUUUCCAAGUAGAACUUCAGAACUGUCUGUUCCCACUGUUUGCAAUCUCUCUUCUCCCUGAAACCCACACCAGUCAAGACUUCACCACCACUCCACCAAAACUGCUCAAAUCACCAAGGACUCCACAGGGCUCAGCUCCAUCAGGCAGUGCCUGGACCUCAUCUGAUGGCUGUCUCAGCACCUGUUCUCUCUGUGUGUGCCUGCAGGAUCCACAGCACACUGUGCUCCUAAAGAAUGGAUGGAGUUCUGGUUUGAUGAAAUUCAAUGUGUGGGAUAUGAAUGAACCAAUAGCCAAAAGUACGUCUUAGUACUUAGAGCGACUCACCCACCUGCCUUCUCUGAGUUAACGAUGAUUGAUGACAGAGCAGUAGUAAGGAAUGUUCAUUGGUUUCAUUUUUGUACCCUUGGGUUUCUUGCCAGGGACUGUGGGUUGAUGCGGGGAAAGUCUGAAGGAACCCUUUCUGUUUUCCAACUGAAACUGAGCGUCCUCUCUUCCAUCUCAAUAUCUGAAUCGCAGAAUAGUGUUAGAUUUGGAAUGUGUCUUACAGAACAACUAACCAACACUUCAUUAGUCCAGAGAGGCUGAAUGACCUUCCCAAAGUCUCAUGACCAGUUAGUGAUUCAUUUGAAACAGGACCUUAACUUCUCAGUCAAGAGUCCAGCAUCCUCUCUACACACUUACUAUUUCUCUACUUCCUUAUGGUUCUUUCAAUGUCCACAUUCUGAAGCGAUGCUUUCAAUUUACUUUGCGAGGAAUUCUUUUAUUCUCCUGGACUGUGCAGGGUCUGUAAGUCCAGCAUCUUUCCCAAACAUACUUGGAGAUGAUAGGCUUUCUAACAGUAUUUCAGUGUGGGCAUUCUUUUAUAAAAUUUAAGUACAAUUAAUUUACAAUGUGUUAGUUUCAGGUGUACAGCAAAGUGAUUCAGUUAUACACACACACACACACGUAUAUAUUCCAGAUUCUUUUCCAUCGUAGGUUUUUAAAAAAUAUUUUAAUUUUAUUGUAAUAUAGUUGAUUUACAAUGUUGUAUUAGUUUCAGAUGUACGACAAAGUGAUUCAGUUAUACAUACACAUAUAUCCCUUCUUUUUUUAGAUACUUUUUUCAUAUAGGUUAUUAUAGAAUAUUGGGUAGAGUUCCCUGUUCUAUACAGUAUAUCCUUGUUGUUUAUCUAUUUUAUAUAAAGUAGCCAAUGUUCUU